CAGCCGGAGGACCCUGGGCUCUCCGGGUCCAGAGAGGCGGGUCCCACUGGAGUCAGCCCACGGCGGGGACCCCAGCAGAAAGGGCCUGUGUCCUUGCUCAGUACACUCGGCAGAUGCAGCAGCUCUGGACUCCGGGUGCUGGCGGGAGAGGCAAGGCCGCUCUGUGACCCCAGAGCCCAGGCUGUCAGUGGGCUCUCCCCUGGCUUUUGGAGCCCAUCCUCCAAACCUGAACUUGGCCAGGAACUUCUGGGAAAUGUGCAGAGAAGCCAACAUACUUCCAGCCUCAUGUGGAUUUUUUCUGAAGCCCUUCUACAUCCACCGAAAGGACCCUGGCUGGCCAAGUUCUUGGCACUGCAGAAGCGGAACCAUGAGCCUUGAACAAAAGCCCAGUUCCUGCCAACCCUACCGGCAGAAUUCCUCUGUGUUGUAACUUGCAGAGCAACGUUCCACCUAGAGAAACCCGGGCUUUUGCAACUCUGCAGUGUUCCCUAAUUAUUACAAGUUCUCUGGCUGAGA